AUACGGAGGGUGCAAGCGUUAUUCGGAAUUAUUGGGCGUAAAGAGCGCGUAGGCGGCCGUACAAGUCAGGUGUGAAAUCCCGGGGCUCAACCCCGGAAGAGCAUUUGAUACUGUAUGACUUGAGUAUGGGAGAGGGAAGUGGAAUUCCUGGUGUAGCGGUGAAAUGCGUAGAUAUCAGGAGGAACACCGGUGGCGAAGGCGGCUUCCUGGACCAAUACCGACGCUGAGGCGCGAAGGCGUGGGGAGC
rnacentral:rRNA from 1 species